AACUCAUCGCGACACGAACUCACGUUCUACCGAUGAUUUUGCCGAAAAACGUACCGAAAUCCCUCUGCCACUCAUCCACCACCUCCGGACUUCGAAGAUGGCAAUAGCAAUCAGCCAACAAGGCUUGGUGGGGUCUCUUGGGCAUUCAAAUGACCAACUUACGAAAACUGCAACAUAAAUCGCUUCCAAUCGACAAAUUUCUGCCAAACGACGUUGUGGGACCCCAUUACCUCUGUGCAACGGCUCCUG
rnacentral:lncRNA from 1 species